UACGGAGGGUUCGAGCGUUAUCCGGAAUCAUUGGGUUUAAAGGGUCCGUAGGCGGGAAGCUAAGUCAGUGGUGAAAUCUUGCAGCUCAACUGUAAAAUUGCCAUUGAUACUGGAUUUCUUGAAUUAGUGUGAGGUGAUUAGAAUGUGUAGUGUAGCGGUGAAAUGCAUAGCUAUUACACAGCAUACCGAUUGCGAAGGCAGAUCACUAACAAUAUAUUGACGCUAAGGGACGAAAGCGUGGGUAGCGAACAGGAUUAGAAACCCCAGUAGUCC
rnacentral:rRNA from 1 species